rnacentral:rRNA from 1 species
GACGACCGCUGGCGGCGUGCUUCACACAUGCAAGUCGAACGGAAAGGCCCUGCUUUUGUGGGGAGCUCGCGUGGCGAACGGGCUAGUAAAACGUGAGUAACCUGCCCUUGAUUUUAGGAUAACUUCAGGAAACUCGGGCUAAUACCGGAUAGGAGUUCCUGCAGCAUAGUGGGGGUUGGAUAGUUUCGGCGGUUGGGGAUGGACUCGCGGCUUAUCAGCUUGUUGGUGGGGUAGUGGCUUACCAAGGCUUUGACGGGUAGCCGGCCUGAGAGGGUGACCGGCCACAUUGGGACUGAGAUACGGCACAGACUCCUACGGGGGGGAGCAGUCGGGAUAAAUGCACAAUGGGCGGAAGCCUGAUGCAGGAACGCGGCGAGCGGGAUGACGGCCUUCGGGUUGUAGGAGGCUUUCGCCAGGGACGAAGCGUGAGUGUGGUUAAUGGGUAGAGAGACACGGGGUAAAGACAUG